rnacentral:rRNA from 1 species
CCUACGUGUGGCAGCAGUGGGGAAUAUUGCACAAUGGGGGGAACCCUGAUGCAGCGACGCCGCGUGGGUGAAGGAGUAUUUCGGUAUGUAACGCCCUAUCAGCAGGGAAGAACACUGACGGUACCUGACUUAGAAGCACCGGCUAAAUACGUGCCAGCAGACGCGGUAAUCCGUAUGGUCCAAGCGUUAUCCGGAUUUACUGGGUGUAAAGGGAGCGCAGGCGGCGCGUUAAGCCUGGUGUGAAAGCCCGCGGCCCAACCGCGGGACUGCAUUUGAAACUGGCGAGCUGGAGUGCCGGAGGGGUAGGCGGAAUGCCUGGUGUAGCGGUGAAAUGCGUAGAGAGUAGGAAGAACACCAGUGGCGAAGGCGGCCUACUGGACGGUGACUGACGCUGAGGCUCGAAAGCGUGGGGAGCAAACAGGAUUAGAUACCCUUGUAGUC